GUUUUUCAGUCCCGCUUCAAAUAUCUUGAAAAUACACUCGAGGAAGAUGAACUUGAUGCGUGGGAAUGAUCUGAAGAAGAUCGCAGAGAAGAUGAAUGGUGCAUUCUAUGUCAAACUUUUCAUUUAUAUAGGAACUUUAUCGAUUACCCUCAGUAUGGCCAUUCUAUGUCAAACCUUAUCAUUCAGAACAUCCUGGUUGACAGUGAAUAUUAUAUAAUGGAAAUUGGACCUCACUGAUUUACGUAAAAGAUUUAUGACAGUAACAACAUUGUAACAACAGUAUCUCCAUCUCUCUCCCUGCCCCGACUCUCUCUCUAUCUCUCUGCCCUGAUUUCGCUCAAAAAUAUGAUAACAUGGGGGCUGAAAUGGCUGACCUCGUUCAGGGCGUUUGAUUGGAUUACUGCGUGGGAUAGAGAAAUUUGAUUCUUCAAAAGGGUACAAAAUAUCAACUUAUGUAUAUUGGUGGAUUCGUCAGAUAGAAAUGCUGAAUUUCUCUUACAAUAAGUUAUGACGAUGCCAAUAUUAGGCAACUGAAGUAUAGAAGCCUCGGAAGAACCAGCUCCUACUACCAACAUCACCCGGCCAACUAUGCAGAAGAUAGACUCUGUUGCAAGUUCUAUUAUCAAUAUUAUUUCCACCUUUUAAGUUCUGAACAUGAAGAACAUCUUUGUUGUUAUUUGCUGCAAAUUUAUUUAUUUAUUUAUUAUAUAUUUAUGGAUCUUAUUUUGACUGGAUUAAGUGGGCCUGGGUUGUAUUAUUAGAGUGGUUCUUUCACAUGCAACAUUAUAAAUAAAGUGGUGUAGAGAGAUCUUUCUACACUUUUUCUUUUGCUUUAACACACUAGGUUUUAGCAGUUCAUAUGAUGAAAACUAAGGAUUGCUUACAAUUAUUCUAUACCAAAAAAGAUUU